rnacentral:tRNA from 1 species
GUCACGAUAGCUCAAAUGGUAGAGCAGCGGCGUUUUUAGCCGAAGGUCGUGGGUUCGAAUCCCGCUCGUGACA